rnacentral:piRNA from 1 species
UGCAUACCUGUUCUUUUAAAAUCAAAUAUGC